CCUACGGGCGGCAGCAGUGAGGAAUAUUGGUCAAUGGACGAGAGUCUGAACCAGCCAAGUAGCGUGAAGGAUGACUGCCCUCUGGGUUGUAAACUUCUUUUAUAUGGGAAUAAAAUGUUCAACGUGUGGGAUUUAGUCUGUAACAUAUGCAUAAGAAUCGGCUAACUCCGUGCCAGGAGCCGCGGUAAUACGGAGGAUCCGAGCGUUAUCCGGAUUUAUUUGGUUUAAAGGGAGCGUAGGUGGAUUGUUAAGUCAGGUGUGAAAGUUUGCGGCUUAAACGUAAAUUUGCAGUUGAAACUGGCAGUCUUGAGUACAGUAGAGGUGGGUGGAAUUCGUGGUGUAGCGGUGAAAUGCUUAGAUAUAUCGAAGAACUCCGAUGGCGAAGGCAGCUCACUGGCCUGCAACUGACACUGAGGCUCGAAAGUGUGGGUAUCAAACAGGAUUAGAUACCCUUGUAGUC
rnacentral:rRNA from 1 species